rnacentral:rRNA from 1 species
CGAGCGGCGAACGGGUGAGUAACAUAUCGGAACAUAUCCUAUAGUGGGGGAUAACGCAGCGAAAGCUGUGCUGAUACCGCAUGAGAUCGUAAGAUGAAAGCGGGGGCUCGCAAGACCUCGCGCUAUUGGAGUGGCCGAUAUCAGAUUAGCUAGUUGGUGAGGUAAAGGCUCACCAAGGCGAUGAUCUGUAGCUGGUCUGAGAGGAUGAUCAGCCACACUGGAACUGAGACACGGUCCAGACUCCUACGGGAGGCAGCAGUGGGGAAUUUUGGACAAUGGGGGCAACCCUGAUCCAGCCAUUCCGCGUGAGUGAAGAAGGCCUUCGGGUUGUAAAGCUCUUUUGUCGGGGACGAAACGGUUUUGGUUAAUAACCAAGACUACUGACGGUACCCGAAGAAUAAAGCACCGGCUAACUACGUGCCAGCAGCCGCGGUAAUACGUAGGGUGCGAGCGUUAAUCGGAAUUACUGGGCGUAAAGCGUGCGCAGGCGGUUUUUGUAAGCCAGAUGUGAAAUCCCCGGGCUCAAACUGGGAAUGGCAUUGGAACU